rnacentral:rRNA from 1 species
UGGGGAAUAUUGGACAAUGGGCGAAAGCCUGAUCCAGCCAUGCCGCGUGUGUGAAGAAGGUCUUCGGAUUGUAAAGCUCUUUAAGUUGGGAGGAAGGGCAGUAAGCGAAUACCUUGCUGUUUUGACGUUACCGACAGAAUAAGCACCGGCUAACUCUGUGCCAGCAGCCGCGGUAAUACAGAGGGUGCAAGCGUUAAUCGGAAUUACUGGGCGUAAAGCGCGCGUAGGUGGUUCGUUAAGUUGAAUGUGAAAGCCCCGGGCUCAACCUAGGAACUGCAUCCAAAACAGGCGAGCUGGAGUAGGGCAGAGGGUGGUGGAAUUUCCUGUGUAGCGGUGAAAUGCGUAGAUAUAGGAAGGAACACAAGUGGCGAAGGCGACCACCUGGGCUCAUACUGACACUGAGGUGCGAAAGCGUGGGGAGCAAACAGG